rnacentral:rRNA from 1 species
GACGAACGCUGGCGGCGUGCUUAACACAUGCAAGUCGAACGGUGACCUCGGAGCUUGCUCCGGGUGAUCAGUGGCGAACGGGUGAGUAACACGUGAGUAACCUGCCCCAGACUCUGGGAUAACCCCGGGAAACCGGAGCUAAUACCGGAUACGACGCGAAGAGGCAUCUCUAUCGCGUGGCAAGUUCUUCGGUUUGGGAUGGACUCGCGGCCUAUCAGCUUGUUGGUGAGGCAAUGGCUCGCCAAGGCGACGACGGGUAGCCGGCCUGCGAGGGGGACUGGCCAAACUGGGACUGAGACACGGCCCAGACUCCGACGGGAGGCAGCAGUGGGGAAUAUUGCACAAUGGGCGCAAGCAUGAUGCAGCGACGCCGCGUGGGGGAUGACGGCCUUCGGGUUGUAAACCCCUUUCAGCAGGGAAGAAGCGCAAGUGACGGUACCUGCAGAAGAAGCACCGGCUAACUACGUGCCAGCCGCCGCCGUAACAC